CCUGAGGGACAGAGCAGGGUAAGCACGAGCUGGGGGAAGAGGCCUGCCUUCCCUAGGCUGCAGCCCUGGGCCCCCACACUGACAGCCCCUAACAGCGGGAGCCACGUCCCUUCCCCCCGCUGGGGCACCCGGCGUUCCCAGCGAGCCCGGCUGCGUGCACCAGCUUCCACUUGUCCUGAGGCCCUAGGUCUCAGAUGGCUCCAGCCCUCGCCCUGGCUUGGUCUGGGAAUCCAAGUCACAGGGUAAGAGUCUUGCUUUAAAAAGAACACGUAUCCAACUAAUCCUUCACGCUGCUUCCGAAAGGAAAGCAUGCUAAGUAUUUACUGAGCUUUGUCUUCUAGGAAGCAGAAACCUAGAAGCCAGGAGGGCAGAAGAUUAAGCUAAAGCUUGGGAGCCAUUGCAGGGAAAAGAUUCAUCAAGUGAUGGGCAACAGUAAAGAGGAAAGAGUUGAUUUUCAAAAAUGAUUCUCCGUGGCUGCACAGAAUGGUGUGUGUGCGACCAGGCCCACUUAUUCCUGGAUGGCAGAGGGGCCCACCCCCGGGCACAUACCUGGAGGCUGGUGACGGUGAGGCGGCGAGCGUCAUCCGAGAGGGAGGCCACAGGCACCACAAAGGGACUGUCUGGUAUGUGCUCAUCGUUGAACUUGAUGGAGACCUCAUAGUCACCUGGGGAGGGAAGGCUGGUCAGCACAGGCCCCUGGGUGGGAGAUGGGGGGGGUGGCACUACCCACCCGCCUCAUCCCUGGACAGGCUCCUUGGGUCAGGGAGAGAGACUCACAGCCCCAGGGGUGUGGGGUGGAGGAAGAUGGGGCAGAGAGCAAGCAGGGGCCCAGGUCAGGCAGGCCCAGGCUCCCCCUCCAUCACGGACCCCUACCUGGUUCCUGGACAACAUAGGAGACCCCACAGGAGCCAUCUUUUCGGUCCUCAAAUGCAAUCUCCGCCUUGCUGGGACCCUCCACAGCAAUGGACAGGCCCCCGGCACCUGCUUCUCGGGUCCAAAUGCUGAACUCGGCUGGGGACAGGGAAGCAGGGCAGAGACAGCUCUUCAGCACCACUGCCCAUCCCCCCGGCCGCCCUGCCUCCACCCCCCUCGCCUGGCACCUGCCCCUCACCUGGCACGCCAGCCACCCCUCGCUCCAGGCCUGUGCCUCCAGCCCUCACUUUGUGGGCACCGCCUUCACCCAGUGGCCCCACAGUGAACUGAAAGGGGCUGCCAGGCACGUGCUGGCCGCGGUACUUGACCGUGACUGUGUGGGGCCCCAUCUCCUGGGGCACGAAGCGCACGCUGUACGCGCUGUCUUCUCCCUCGACAAUCUCUGCGGCUUCCAUCUUGCCCGACGGGCUGGUCACCUGUGCGGUCAUGUCCUGAGAGCUGGCCUCACCUGCAAGGAGUGGGGAGUGUCAGGGUGACACUGGGGCCGCUCCCAGCCUUGGACCUCCCCUCCCUCCUCAGUGAAACCUCUUCCUCUGCCCAGAACACCCGCGGCCGGCCGCCUGCGGCCUCCCCCCGUCCUGUCCCCAGGGGACGGAAGGCCCAGCGCAGCCAUGCCUACCCUCCUGCCGGGCGAUGCUGCCGAAGGAGCCCAGGCGCUCCCGGCCCAGGAAGUCCCCGAAGACGGCGGGGAAGGGGUCUCCGCCGACCUGGGUGGACUCCUCCACCCGCACCUCGCGCUUGGUCUCCCCGCCCCGCGUCUUGCUGAUCUCCGUGCGCUCCGUGCGGGUGUACGUGUGGCUGCUACGGGUGAAGGUGCGCGUCAGGCGCUCCUGGGCAGACACCAUCUGGAACCAGUUCCCUGGGGGACACAGAGCAGCAGAGUCACGUGGUUUCGUGGAACCAAAACACUAGACUGGAGCAGAUAGCACCGACCCUUUGCCUGCCAUGUGGUUCUGAUCAAGUUGCUCAGCCUCUCUGGGCCUCCUGAUCUACCAAAAGAGAUGAUCGGUACCCUAACUUCACAAGAGUUACAUCAGUGACUAAAUGAGAUGACCGCUUUCACC